ACGUUAUGGUGGGCACUCUAAGGAGACUGCCGGUGACAAACCGGAGGAAGGUGGGGAUGACGUCAAGUCAUCAUGGCCCUUACGGCCAGGGCUACACACGUGCUACAAUGGUCGGUACAGAGGGUUGCCAAGCCGCGAGGUGGAGCUAAUCCCAUAAAACCGAUCGUAGUCCGGAUCGCAGUUGCAACUCGAUGCGUGAAGUCGGAAUCGCUAGUAAUCGGAAUC
rnacentral:rRNA from 1 species